GAGGGAAUAGCUCAGUGGUAGAGCACAUGCUUAGCAUGCAUGAGGUCCUGGGUUCAAUCCCCGGUAUCUCCA
rnacentral:tRNA from 1 species